rnacentral:rRNA from 1 species
GAUGAACGCUGGCGGCGUGCCUAAUACAUGCAAGUCGAGCGAACAGACGAGGAGCUUGCUCCUCUGACGUUAGCGGCGGACGGGUGAGUAACACGUGGAUAACCUACCUAUAAGACUGGGAUAACUUCGGGAAACCGGAGCUAAUACCGGAUAAUAUAUUGAACCGCAUGGUUCAAUAGUGAAAGACGGUUUUGCUGUCACUUAUGGAUGGAUCCGCCCCGCAUUAGCUAGUUGGUAGGGUAACGGCUUACCAAGGCGACGCUGCGUAGCCGACCUGAGAUGGUGAGCUGCCACACCGGAACGGUGACACGGUCCGGACCCCUACGGUAGGCGACAGGAGGGAAUCGUCUGCUAUGCGCUAGAGCCUAACCGAGCAACGCCGCGUGAGGGAUAAAGGUCCGCGGAUCCUAGUACUCUGUUAUUUGGAAAGAACAAUUGUCCAAGUAACGAUGCUCGUCUUGACGGUACCUUAUCAGUAAGCCACGGCUAACUCCGUG